rnacentral:lncRNA from 1 species
GGCAUGCUGAGGGGAAAAUGUGGCCACAUGUCCUGUCUGUCAGUAAUUUUAUUACUGAGAUAUAGACACCUGGAAAAUCUAAACCUACUUAAAAACAAAUGAAGCUUAAGUAGAGAAGAAAAUCCUUGUUAUUCAUUACAAGCAGCGAUAUUUGCUAUGCACUGCAGCUACAGAUGUACUCUGAAUGACCAUGGAUACAGCAAUUUUUGUUGUACUCAAAUGAAGCAAUAACUUGGAGAAGAGUGCUGCUCUGCCAGCAGAAGAAGGCAAGACCUUCCUUCCCACAGCGAGGAAUAAGUAGACUGUCCCAGUGAGACAAAUUACAGCAUCGUGGAACUGAUAGGAAAGAGUAAGCCAGGAAAAGACCCCAAAUUGUGCAAUCACUUCCAGGAAACGAAAUGUUCAUUAUAAUAGAAAUGAUUUUUCCCCCCCUCCUUUCUUUAUAAUGGCUAAUGCUAUGAUUAACAUACCAGAUUGUACAUGGAGUCUCAGCACAAGACAUCAAAGGCUUUCCACAGGCUCCUGUGAACACAGAGAAGUGGAGCUGCUCCUCCAGCCUGCUGCAGAUUGCUAAUUUUGAUCUAGCUUUCUCAGGUGACAAAAGCAGAGGCUGGGUGGACUCUAUCCUUUCACCCCCUGCAAGGGCUGCUGUUAGACAUGGGAUUGCAAUAAGCAGGACCAGGUGCCAGUGUACCAAGCCUCUGUUCUAAGCCGUGGGGUGACACACAGUGGAUCGCUAAGGGGCAAGGACUCUCAUCCCCUGCAACUGGCUCUUCCUUGAUGUAACUCAACUCCAGAGAAGCUAUUCCAACCUUAGACCACUCUUAGACAAGCACUGAGCCUGCUUGUCCUUGGCUGACUACGUCAUCAGGAUCUGUUCAAUUUCAUGUCAUAUUUAUUUUAAUUAGUAUUCCAUUAAUUCGGUUUUGCUGCACUACUCAUCUCGUAUCUUAGUAGUCUUUGGGCCUGUUGGCUUUCAUGAAGCCCUUUCCCCUCUUUGUUUUAAGCAGUUUUCAGAUUUUAUGAAAGUGCGUUGGCUUUCAUGAAGCCCUUCAUUUUAAGCAGUUUUCAGAUUUUAUGAAAGUGAAGUUUGGCUUCUUCUAGCAAUUGCUUCUCUCCAGUUUCCCCAAGCCUGCCACUGUGCAGAGAACCCUUUGGCAAAGAACUGCAGAGAAGUCCCACUGGACUUUGUGUUCUUUUUUUUCUUGUUUUCAUCUUAAUUCCUC